rnacentral:rRNA from 1 species
AGCAGCCACCUUUUAAAAAGCGUCAAAGCUUAACCUAAUUCCUCUAAAAUACCAUUAACCUUAAUGAACCCCUAAUCUAUAAUGAAUGACCCCAUAUAAAUAUGGAAGACACCAUGCUAGGAUAAGUAACAAGAAUUAAUAAUUCUCCAAAAUGCAAACAUACACCAGCAUGGAUAAACCAUUGGUAAUUACCGAAUCUGAACUUACUGCAACAACACUUACAAGAAAACCAUGCAGUAUUUGCUCGUUAACCUAACACUAGUGCAUUUCAGGAAAGAUUUAAAAAAAGAGAAGGAAUUCGGCAAAUGAAAGCCCCGCCUGUUUACCAAAAACAUCGCCUCUUGAUUUAUGAUAAGAGGUCCAGCCUGCCCAGUGAAUUUUUAACGGCCGCGGUAUCCUAACCGCGCGAAGGUAGCAUAAUCACUUGUUCUUUAAAUGGGGACUCGUAUCAACGGCAUCACGAGGGUUUUACUGUCUCCUCUUUUUGAUCAGUGAAAUUGAUCUUCCCGUGAAGAAGCGGGAAUACUCAUAUAAGACGAGAAGACCCCAUGGAGCUUAAAACCAAAUAGUAACUUAACCACAUAUUUCCUUAUAACUUUAAGCCUAUACUAUGAGGUUUUUGGUUGGGGUGACCGCGGAGUAAAACAUACCCUCCACGACGGAAAGACUACAAUCUUUAUUUAAGAACCACAGUUCUAAAAAUUAGCACACUAACGUUUACUGACCCGAUAAUCGAUCAACGGAACAAGUUACCCUGGGGAUAACAGCGCAAUCUACUUCAAGAGCCCAUAUCGACGAGUAGGCUUACGACCUCGAUGUUGGAUCAGGGUAUCCCAGUGGUGCAGCCAUUACUGAAGGUUCGUUUGUUCAACGAUUAAAACCCUACGUGAUC